GAUGAACGCUGGCGGCGUGCCUAAUACAUGCAAGUCGAGCGAACGGACGAGAAGCUUGCUUCUCUGAUGUUAGCGGCGGACGGGUGAGUAACACGUGGAUAACCUACCUAUAAGACUGGGAUAACUUCGGGAAACCGGAGCUAAUACCCGAUAAUAUUUUGAACCUCAUGGUUCAAAAGUGAAAGACGGUCUUGCUGUCACUUAUAGAUGUAUCCGCGCUGCAUUAGCUAGUUGGUAAGGUAACGGCUUACCAAGGCAACGAUGCAUAGCCGACCUGAGAGGGUGAUCGGCCACACUGGAACUGAGACACGGUCCAGACUCCUACGGGAGGCAGCAGUAGGGAAUCUUCCGCAAUGGGCGAAAGCCUGACGGAGCAACGCCGCGUGAGUGAUGAAGGUCUUCGGAUCGUAAAACUCUGUUAUUAGGGAAGAACAUAUGUGUAAGUAACUGUGCACAUCUUGACGGUACCUAAUCAGAAAGCCACGGCUAACUACGUG
rnacentral:rRNA from 1 species